GUCUAUGGCCAUGCCACCCUGAACGUGCCUGAUCUCGUCUGAUCUCAGAAGCUAAGCAGAGUCGGGCCUGGUUAGUACUUGGAUGGGAGACCACCUAGGAAUACCAGGUGCUGUAGGCA
rnacentral:rRNA from 1 species